AGUUUUCAUUUAGCCACCGGGAGGUAUUGUGGCGGUGAGUGUACCCUACACAGAAAUCGAACUGCGACAGGAUGUAUACCGGAUUGCAAGUGCGUGGCUAAAAAUUUCAGGAGCACUAUCAACAUUGGAAGCGGUAUAUGUGUGAAAAAGCGAGGCUAUCAAUUCGGCAGUGGAGCCCAAUGUGGCGGGGAG